GGUAUAGCUCAGUGGUAGAGUGCAUGCUUAGCGUGCAUGAGGUUCUGGGUUCAAUCCUCAGUACC
rnacentral:tRNA from 1 species